CUAUGACGUCACGUCACAGCAGGUGUUACGGAUAAACCAGUGACCCGUGUUAAUGGGCGUCCGCGGUUAAACAGCAGUUCACCUUCUCGGUUUAAACGAGCGGAAUAGCUCAUCUACGUGACAUAUGCAUACUGAAACAGACUUCAAAGAAACAGUUUAACCUUUUUACAAGCAAUAUGAAACAGCUAUGUAACAAUAAACGUUCUCUUUCCUUUUCUUGUCGGCUGCCGUGAAUACCAUAACUGGCGACUUUUAACAGGGUUGCAUUUUUAUCCGUAACACUAUAUCACCUUUCUUUCAUCCUAAUCUGGCGAGUCUCUGGCAGCCUACAAAAGCCCGAAUGGAUAUAAAUGGACGAAAACUGGAUUUGUGGAUUAUAUUCAUCAUAAAAGUCGACCAGCUAAAACUCUUUGUCGUCGCUUGAAGGAGCUGAGAUCCAUCAGCCCCGCCAGUAAAACACAACAUAGCUGAGACCCGAGUCAUUUGAGUGAAAUAUACCCUGCGUGAUCUUUGGGUGCCCGGGAAGGCCACCGCAACCCCGCCCACUCCCGACGCAUCCUCCUGGGACUGGUUGCCUGGCAACAGCGGCUGAUUGGGUUAGCCGGGUUAAGAAAGGGUCUGGCACGGGCCGAAGGAAUCGGAUCACUCCCAUUGAUCAUCUUCUCUCUCCACUCCUCUGAGAGCCGAGGCCACGGCCACAAAAUCAAAGCCCUGCCAUCGUGUCUGAGAGCGGGUUAUUACGCACACGGGGGAGCGGGGAGAGACACGGCAGGCUUUGUGUGGCGGCUCAGUCUGACAUCCCACACCGCACAUCACAGUGUGAUGCUGCGACUACUCACAGUCACAAGCGAUGUGAUUGACUGCUGCCAGGUAUUUCUUGACUGCCAUUUGCUUCCGGUAGCGGCUGUAGCUGUCUGUGAAGAUCCCGUCUGAGUGUCGCUUGGACAGUGGCUCCGAGCUGUCGUCCAGCGUUUUCCCCCCGCUGUGAGGGAGAGGAGAGGUUCUUCACUAUCAUCACAGUGAUGCAUUUAUAUUCACAUGACCCCCUCUUGUAUGUGCAGCAUACAGUGAUGCUGAGGUAGAGAGCCUGUAAAUUAUCCUUGUGUCAUCAUCUUAGAGGGGGAUUUUUUUUUGUUGCUGCCUGCAAAGAUCACCUGAUUUUAGAGCCUUUUAGGGAAGAUGAGCAGAUUUAGUUUGUUUAAGGACAAAGUAUUGAGCCUGCACUUGCAUUGUUAAAGAUUUUGCAUAAAUAAUAAUUGCAAAAAUUA